UUUAACCAUUAGGAUACAACCCCAGACCCUAGUACAUCGGUUCUAGCUGAAAUAAGUAGUGCUUCAUAAACAACACAAAACAUUCAUAACAGUACGCUUCUGCUCCUCAUUAAUGCAGCUCCUGAUGUCCCCAGCAGCAACAUGGUGGAGAUCUGCAGCUUCAUGCUGGUCAACUGGAAGACAACUGAUUAAGAUUAAAAGAUUAAGAUUAAAAUCCAUUUAUUCAUCCCAAACACAUGCACAGACAUGCAAAGGCACACUCAUGCAGAUGAAGAACUGCAGCACCUGAUGUCCUCAGCAGCAACAUGGUGGAGAUCUGAUUUGAAACACUUUAGAUAAGAACCCAGUGUUUUAUAUUUCUGCUUUGCCAUAAGAGACAGAACAUGGUCAUCACAGCUGUGUCCUUCAGGCUCGUCUGUCCCUAAUAAAAUGAUAGGAAACAUGAAAGUGAUCGUCAUUAUUGUAGAGGAAGAGUUACAUAUGAACAAAGUGUGUAAUCUUAUUUUCUGUGGAUAUUCAACUGUGUAUUUGAAUAUGCUUUUGGAUUAAAACGUGCACUACCA